AAUAGAUACCCGGGUAGUCCACGCCCUAAACGAUGAAUGCCAGACGUCGGGCAGCAUGCUGUUCGGUGUCACACCUAACGGAUUAAGCAUUCCGCCUGGGGAGUACGGCCGCAAGGUUAAAACUCAAAGGAAUUGACGGGGGGCCCGCACAAGCGGUGGAGCAUGUGGUUUAAUUCGAAGCAACGCGCAGAACCUUACCAACCCUUGACAUGGGUAUCGCGGGACCAGAGAUGGUCCUUUCAGUUCGGCUGGAUACCACACAGGUGCUGCAUGGUUGUCGUCAGCUCGUGUCGUGAGAUGUUCGGUUAAGUCCGGCAACGAGCGCAACCCACACUUUCAGUUGCCAUCAUUCAGUUGGGCACUCUGGAAGAACUGCCGGUGAUAAGCCGGAGGAAGGUGUGGAUGACGUCAAGUCCUCAUGGCCCUUACGGGGUUGGGCUACACACGUGCUACAAUGGUGGUGACAAUGGGCCAAUCCCAAAAAGCCAUCUCAGUUCGGAUUGGGGUUCUGCAACUCGACCCCAUG
rnacentral:rRNA from 1 species